GACGAACGCUGGCGGCGUGCCUAACACAUGCAAGUCGAACGGAAAGGCCCUGCUUUUGUGGGGUGCUCGAGUGGCGAACGGGAGAGUAACCCGUGAGUAACCUGCCCUUGACUUUGGGAUAACUUCAGGAAACCGGGGCUAAUACCGGCUAGGAGCUCCUGCUGCAUGGGGGGGGUCGGACAGUUUCGGCGGUGGGGGAUGGACGCCGGGCUUACCAGCUGGUUGGUGGGGUAGUGGCUUACCAAGGCUUCGACGGGUAGCCGGCCUGGGAGGGUGACCGGCGUCCUGGGGACUAAGAGACGGACCAGACUCCAACGGGGGACAGCGGUGGGGAAUAUUACACAAUGAGCGGAAGCCUGAUGCAGCAGCGCCGCGUGCGGAAUGACGGCCUUCGGGUUGUAAACCGCAUUCGCCUGUGACGAAGCGUUAGUGACGGUAAUGGGUGAAGAAGCACCGGCUAACUACGUG
rnacentral:rRNA from 1 species